rnacentral:rRNA from 1 species
AGCUCCAAUAGCGUAUAUUAAAGUUGUUGCAGUUAAAAAGCUCGUAGUUGAAUUUCUGGCUGGAAGGGAGCGGUUCCACAUCUUUGUGGAUACUUGCUCGUCUUCUGCCAUCCGUGGGACUAGUGUCGCCGGUAUUAACUUACCGGCGUCUACGAUGCCCACCGUUUACUGUGAGCAAAUUAGAGUGUUCAAAGCAGGCUUAUGCCGUUGAAUAUAUUAGCAUGGAAUAAUAAGAUAGGACCUAGUCACUAUUUUGUUGGUUUGCGUGAUUAGAUAAUGAUUAAGAGGGACAGUUGUGGGUACUCGUAUUCAAGUGUCAGAGGUGAAAUUCUUAAAUUACUUGAAGACGAACGACUGCGAAAGCAUUUACCAAGGAUGUUUUCAUUA